rnacentral:rRNA from 1 species
AUGUUGACAGAGGGAGACGAGGUUUCCAAGAAACAGCUCAAGGUGGUCUCUAUUGUUGGAUCUGGUGGAUUAGGCAAGACAACCCUUGCUAAUGCAGUCUAUUUGAAACUUAAAGGGGAAUUCAAUUGUGUGGCUUUUGUUUCUGUGUCUCUUAAUCCUAACAUGAAGAUGAUUUACAUAAGCUUGCUCCGUCAAUUUGACAAGCACACAUACAAGGACAUCAAUGAGGCAUCGUGGAGUGAAGAAGAAUUACGCCGUGAGAUAAAAACAUUCCUGGGACACAAGAGGUACUUGAUUGUCAUCGACGACAUAUGGGAUAAAUCUGUCUGGGAAGACAACAUCAAAUGUGCUUUCUCUAAUAAUGAAUAUGGAAGUAGAGUAAUAACAACAACUCGUGUUCUUAAUGUUGCCCAGGAAGCUGGUUGUUUAUAUCGUCUGCAACCUCUUUCUGUUGUUGAUUCAAAGAAGUUAUUCUACCAAAGAAUAUAUGGCACUGAGAAUAAAACAACACCUGCUCAAUUGGUUGAAGUAUCUGAGAACAUUUUGAAAAGAUGUGGUGGAGUGCCUUUAGCUAUCCUUACAAUUGCUAGUCUGUUGUCCAGUAAAAUGGGAAGAACACAUACACAUGAAUAUUGGUGCAAGGUGCACAAAUCUAUGGGUUCAGGGCUAGAUGAUAGUCAUGAUGACGUGAAGAAGAUGAGACGGAUAUUAUCAGUUAGUUACUAUGACCUACCUCCACACCUAAAGACUUGUUUACUGCAUCUUAGUGUGUAUCCAGAGGAUUAUGAGAUUAAAACAAAAGAACUGAUAUGGAAAUGGGUCGGUGAAGGUUUUGUGGAAGAAAACUCAGAGAAGACUUUAUAUGAAGUAAGGAGAGGAUUACUUGGAAGAGCUCAUUAA